CCUACGGGUGGCUGCAGUGGGGAAUAUUGGACAAUGGGGGGAACCCUGAUCCAGCCAUGCCGCGUGUGUGAAGAAGGCCCUCGGGUUGUAAAGCACUUUCAGUGAGGAAGAACGCCUGGUGGUUAAUACCCAUCAGGAAAGACAUCACUCACAGAAGAAGCACCGGCUAACUCCGUGCCAGCAGCCGCGGUAAUACGGAGGGUGCGAGCGUUAAUCGGAAUUACUGGGCGUAAAGCGCGCGUAGGUGGCUUGAUAAGCCGGUUGUGAAAGCCCCGGGCUCAACCUGGGAACGGCAUCCGGAACUGUCAAGCUAGAGUGCAGGAGAGGAAGGUAGAAUUCCCGGUGUAGCGGUGAAAUGCGUAGAGAUCGGGAGGAAUACCAGUGGCGAAGGCGGCCUUCUGGACUAACACUGACGCUGAGGUGCGAAAGCGUGGGUAGCAAACAGGAUUAGAUACCCCAGUAGUC
rnacentral:rRNA from 1 species